rnacentral:rRNA from 1 species
UAAUGGCUCACCAAGCCUUUACCGGUGCGGGCCGUGAGAGCGGGAGCCCGGAGAUGGGCACUGAGACAAGGGCCCAGGCCCUACGGGGCGCAGCAGUCGCGAAAACUUUGCAAUACACGCAAGUGUGACAGGGCUAUCCCGAGUGCCAUCCGCUGAGGAAGGCUUUUACCCAGUCUAGAAAGCUGGGGGAAUAAGGAGAGGGCAAGUCUGGUGUCAGCCGCCGCGGUAAUACCAGCUCUCCGAGUGGUGUGGAUGUUUAUUGGGCCUAAAGCAUCCGUAGCUGGCUAAGUUAGUCCCCUGUUAAAUCCAACGAAUUAAUCGUUGGAUCGCGGGGGAUACUGCUUGGCUAGGGGACGAGAGAGGCAGACGGUAUUUCCGGGGUAGGGGUGAAAUCCUAUAAUCCCGGGAAGACCACCAGUGGCGAAGGCUGUCUGCUAGAACGCGCCCGACGGUGAGGGAUGAAAGCUGGGGGAGCGAACCGGAUUAGAUACCCGGGUAGUCCCAGCUGUAAACGAUGCAGGCUAGGUGUUUGGACGGCCACGUGCCGUUCUAGUGCCGCAGGGAAGCUGUUAGGCCUGCCGCCUGGGGAGUACGAUCGCAAGAUUGAAACUUAAAGGAAUUGGCGGGGGAGCACCACAAGGGGUGAAGCUUGCGGUUUAAUUGGAGUCAACGCCGGG